rnacentral:tRNA from 2 species
GCGGGUAUGGCGGAAUUGGCAGACGCGCUAGACUUAGGAUCUAGUGUCUUAGACGUGCAGGUUCAACUCCUGUUACCCGCACCA